rnacentral:rRNA from 1 species
GAUCCCCUAGUAACUGCGAGUGAAGCGGGAAAAGCUCAAAUUUGAAAUCUGGCAGUCUUUGGCUGUCCGAGUUGUAAACUAGAGAAGUGUUGCCCGCGCUGGACCGUGUACAAGUCUCCUGGAAUGGAGCGUCAUAGAGGGUGAGAAUCCCGUCUCUGACACGGACUACCAGGGCUUUGUGGUACGCUCUCAAAGAGUCGAGUUGUUUGGGAAUGCAGCUCAAAAUGGGUGGUAAAUUCCAUCUAAAGCUAAAUAUUGGCGAGAGACCGAUAGCGAACAAGUACCGUGAGGGAAAGAUGAAAAGAACUUUGGAAAGAGAGUUAAACAGUACGUGAAAUUGCUGAAAGGGAAACGCUUGAAGUCAGUCGCGUUGGCCGGGGAUCAACCUAGCUCUUUUGCCUGGUGUACUUUCCGGUUGACGGGUCAGCAUCAAUUUUGACUGCUGGAAAAAGGCAUGAGGAAUGUGGCAGCUCCGGCUGUGUUAUAGCUUCGUGUCACAUACAGCGGUUGGGACUGAGGAACUCAGCACGCCGCAAGGCCGGGUUUCGACCACGUUCGUGCUUAGGAUGCUGGCAUAAUGGCUUUAAGCGACCCGUCUUGAAACACGGACCAAGGAGUCUAACAUGCCUGCGAGUGUUUGGGUGGAAAACCCGAGCGCGCAAUGAAAGUGAAAGUUGAGAUCCCUGUCGUGGGGAGCAUCGACGCCCGGACCAGAACUUUUGGGACGGAUCUGCGGUAGAGCAUGUAUGUUGGGACCCGAAAGAUGGUGAACUAUGCCUGAAUAGGGUGAAGCCAGAGGAAACUUUGGUGGAGGCUCGUAGCGAUUCUGACGUGCAAAUCGAUCGUCAAAUUUGGGUAUAGGGGCGAAAGACUAAUCGAACCAU